rnacentral:rRNA from 1 species
GGACUACCCGGGUAUCUAAUCCUGUUUGCUACCCACACUUUCGCGCCUCAGCGUCAGUUACUGUCCAGGUGGCCGCCUUCGCCACUGGUAUUCCUCCACAUCUCUACGCAUUUCACCGCUACACGUGGAAUUCUACCACCCUCUCCAGCACUCUAGCCUUCCAGUCUCGGAUGCAGUUCCCAGGUUAAGCCCGGGGAUUACACAUCCGACUUAGAAAACCGCCUACGCGCCCUUUACGCCCAAUAAUUCCGAAUAACGCUUGCCCCCUCUGUAUUACCGCGGCUGCUGGCAC